GACGAACGCUGGCGGCGUGCUUAACACAUGCAAGUCGAACGAAGUGGCGAACGGGUGAGUAACGUGUAAUCAACCUGCCCUUCAGAGGGGGACAACAGUUGGAAACGACUGCUAAUACCGCAUACUGAAGGAGGGGCUUGCGUCUGAUUAGCUAGUUGGAGGGGUAACGGCCCAACAAGGCGAUGAUCAUUAGCCGGUCUGAGUGAAUGAACGGCGAAGUUGGGACUGGUAGACGGCCCAGACUCCUACGGGAGGCAGGAGUGGAGAAGCAUCCGAAAUGGACGAAAGUCUGACGGAGCAACGCGGCGUGAGUGAUGACGGCCUUCGGGUGGGAAAGCUCUGUUAAUCGGGACGCGGUACCGGAAGAGAAAGCCACGGCUAACUACGUGCCAGCAGCCGCGGUAAUAC
rnacentral:rRNA from 1 species